GAUGAAGAACGUAGCGAAAUGCGAUAAGUAGUGUGAAUUGCAGAAUUCAGCGAAUCAUCGAAUCUUUGAACGCACAUUGCGCCCUUCGGUUAUUCCUUAGGGCAUGCCUGUUCGAGCGUCAUUUCAACCUUCAAGCCUGGCUUGGUGUUGGGCGCUGUCCCGCCUCCGCGCGCGGACUCGCCCCAAAUGAAUUGGCAGUCGCACCCUCCGAGCCGCGAGCGCAGCACAAGUCGCGCGGGCGGAACUCUGGGGGGACGGACGCUCCACAAGACCCUUUCUCAGUCUUGACCUCGGAUCAGGUAGGGAUACCCGCUGAACUUAAGAAUAUCAAUAAGCGGAGG
rnacentral:misc_RNA from 1 species